UACGAAGGGGGCUAGCGUUGCUCGGAAUCACUGGGCGUAAAGCGCACGUAGGCGGCUUUCUAAGUCAGGGGUGAAAUCCUGGAGCUCAACUCCAGAACUGCCUUUGAUACUGGAGAGCUUGAGUCCGGAAGAGGUGAGUGGAACUCCGAGUGUAGAGGUGAAAUUCGUAGAUAUUCGGAAGAACACCAGUGGCGAAGGCGACUCACUGGACACAUAUUGACGCUGAGGUGCGAAAGCGUGGGGAGCAAACAGG
rnacentral:rRNA from 1 species